CCAACAGGUGGAAUGGGCAGAGAGGAUGUCUCUGACAAGGACUGAGAACUAGAUGAAAAGGGAGAACAACCCUGUGGUACCUAGGGGGACAGAAAAACACACUCUGCAGGAUGAAGAGGGAGCUGAGAACCUUCUACAACUAUAGAAAAGAAGGAUACAGACCAAACAGGAAGAGACUUCACAGGUAGCCUAGCAUGUCAUCUUGGGAGCUUGGAAGGCCACCAUACUGAGUCUUCAAAGUUUAUGAGAGGGUUGUGACUCCCCCACAUCCUGGGUGUGUGCAGAAUGGGUUACAGCGGGGGCAGAAAGAGAGACGUGGAAAACACACUAGCAGAUGAAAUGGUGAUUGAUUGAUUGAUCAGAAGCCCAGAAGGAGGUGACCUGAGCAAGCUAGCACCUCACCAGCCCGGAUGGAAAGAUGGAAACAGUGGUAUUUAAUAGACGGGAGACCUGAGGCGAAUUUGAGAAGCAAGCCAACAAGAUUUACUGACAGGAAGAUCAUCAAAGCUGCGGUCCCCACCAGCAGCUCCUGACAUUCCUGAGGAAACCUCCUUCCUUCCCUUUGGCCUCUUGUGGCUACACACAGUCACUCACUGACCCUGGCACACACUGUAGGUCCUCAGUAGGAAACCAAGCUAAUCUCUCUCUCUAAGGGUUUUUUUUUUUUUUUUUUUUUUUUUUUUUUUUGCCAUUUUGAAUCUUCCAGGAGAGCCUAUCUUGCUUAUUCUUGUAGCUAAUCCCAGCCCCUUGCACCGUGCCUUCCCCAUAAAGAGAUGUGAAUGAACCACUGCUCCACCGGUGAGCAAGUGGGGGAGAACGGGAAACAGCUCCAAGUUGCACUUACAGAAGACUAAGUACUGACAGGAAGCGCUGGUUGGAGAGUAACUGACCACCCUGGGAGAGCAGCCACUGAGAGGAACAAAGACACCUUUCACCCUGCAGGAUUUCAGUCAUUCAUGACUCAGCACCGGGAGGGAAGCCAGACACAGUGCAGCAGGAUCCUAGCCCUGAAUGGGGAUAGAUCGGUAGCCCAGCCCCACUAACAAGAAAGGAUACAAAAAGGAUACAAAGGCAUACAGGUGAAAGGGACUCCAUACACCAUCCCAGCACCGUGCCCCAGCCCAUUUGAAAACCCGUUAUGGGGCAGAUCAUGGCUGCUUCCACACUCAACAGCAGCGACUAGUUACCUGGGAAGCCUUGCUUGGCUGCAACUUCAAAGAAAACGCCACGCAAACAAGAGUGAUUUUACAUUGCUUUCCUAUCAUACAUUGUUCCAAGCCCAUCCUAAGGGGGUGCUCGGAAUCCAGUAACGAUCACACGAUUGCCAACUAACCUCUCCUCAGCAGCCUCACACUGAUGGUGGGGGUACAAGCUAGCCACACACCGAAGGUAUUUACGGCGUGCCUAUACUGUUGAGUGACAGUCACAUUCUUCUUAAGGAUUAAGCCUCAUCAACCAUUUCAAAGCCAUCUUGGGUUUACUCUGGCACCGAGAGACGGAGACAGAAAUCAACAUCAUCUCGUUACGUGAUCAUCUUUGGCAAGAGACGACAUGAUUUCGCCUUCACAGGAAGGAAUGUUGCCUGUGUGGAGCAAAUCAGGCCCAGUGAACCUGUUCACCUACCAACCCCUCCGCCACUCGAGUGAGUCAGAGGGAGACGGCCAUGUUGGUUCCUCUGGCUGGGUUUGGCAUUAGAUAAGCAGGUACAGAAGUGUCUGGGGUCUUUGAUGUAUCUAGAUACAAAUGACCGGGAAGUUCCUCUCCUUGGAUGAUCUGGAGCACACAGGAAAUCUCGGGAGGAAGGAGGCUGCCUCUAUGCUGUCCCCAACUGGGGUGAAGUCACUGUGGCCAGCCAUAAGUGCUCUUAGAAUUUGUCUUUUGGUCAUCACAACAGUGAUGGAGAGAAAGCCUCUCUCCUGGUGGCCUAGCGGGAGGCUUGUGAUUGGUCCCAAACAUGAAGGCGAGAGAGGCCAGGAUGAGAAGUAGACAGAGGAACAGAAAGCUGUGGAGAGCCAGACAUGUAUGCUCAUGUCUUCAAAAGAGGGUCCUUGGAUUGAGAUUUCCAGAAGGGAAACAGAAAAUGGCGAAUGUAUCUGCAUUUGGUGGUAGCCAGUUGGAAUGAGAAAAUGGCAAAGGGAAAUGAGGUUCCCACUAAGGAACAAUGCUGAGGUGAGUGGUCCAGUGGUUCGUCACAGCAGAGGGACACUAGGUAAGCUGUUCCACCCUUCACAUGGGAUGUGAAGCACACAUCCAAGGGCCACCGUCUGGUGGCAAAACGUGCUUUAGCACAGUUCUGCGGGGGAAUGGUUUUUCCUUUGAGCCUGAAGACCCCAAACAUGUAUACUUCAUGCCAAGCCACUUCCUAGGGAACAAGUCCUUUAUCAGGACACACCCACCCAGCCACGUGGGUCGUGGCAGGCUCAGUAACAGCUAAGGAGAGAAACAGCGCUCAAGGUUCACCGAAUACCACAACGCCACGCAAAAAGUAGACUCUGGUUAAGAACUUUUUGUUAACCUGUCUUGGGUUGUGAACAUCGAUGGGAAGAGGGUGAAGCGGCUGCCUCGGUGAGCAGCUAGGAAACAGAAUGUCUACAGAGAGUGCUGGAGAGAGCACGGUGGCUAACAGUGCAUAGUGCUAUUCCAGAGGACACAAACUCAGCCCCUAUGUGGGACAGCUCACACCUGCCCACAGCUCCAGCUCAGGAGAUGGGACACCUCUGGCCUCCCCAUGCACCCACACUCAAGUGUACCUAAACACACAUGCACACACAUACACGUGCACACACGCACACGCACGUGCACAUGCACAGGCAAGCACACAUGAUAAAAAUAAUAAAACAAAUAUACAAAGACAUUAGAA
rnacentral:lncRNA from 1 species